UACGUAGGGUGCAAGCGUUGUCCGGAAUUAUUGGGCGUAAAGCGUGCGCAGGCGGUUGUGCAAGACCGAUGUGAAAUCCCCGGGCUCAACCUGGGAACUGCAUUUGUGACUGCACGGCUGGAGUGCGGCAGAGGGGGAUGGAAUUCCGCGUGUAGCAGUGAAAUGCGUAGAUAUGCGGAGGAACACCGAUGGCGAAGGCAAUCCCCUGGGCCUGCACUGACGCUCAUGCACGAAAGCGUGGGGAGCAAACAGG
rnacentral:rRNA from 1 species